AUUGAACGCUGGCGGCAGGCCUAACACAUGCAAGUCGAACGAGUGGCGGACGGGUGAGUAAUGUCGGUGAAACUGCCCGAUGGAGGGGGAUAACUACUGGAAACGGUAGCUAAUACCGCAUACCCUAGGAUGUGCCCUGAUGGGAUUAGCUAGUAGGUGGGGUAACGGGUCACCUAGGCGACGAUCCCUAGCUGGUCUGCGAGGAUGACCAGCCACACGGGAACUGAGACACGGUCCAGACUCUUACGGGAGGCAGCAGUGGGGAAUAUUGCACAAUGGGCGCAAGCCUGAUGCAGCCAUGCCGCGUGUAUGAAGAAGGCCUUCGGGUUGUAAAGUACUUUCAGCGAGGAGGCGUUACUCGCAGAAGAAGCACCGGCUAACUCCGUGCCAACAGCCGCGGUAAUUC
rnacentral:rRNA from 1 species